rnacentral:rRNA from 1 species
CUUAGUGGCGCACGGGUGAGUAACACGUGGGAACAUACCUCAUAGUACGGAAUAACUGCGGGAAACUGUAGCUAAUACCGUAUAUUCCAGUAAUGGGAAAGAUUUAUCGCUAUGAGAUUGGCCCGCGCAAGAUUAGUUUGUUGGUAAGGUAAUGGCUUACCAAGGCUACGAUCUUUAGCUGGUUUGAGAGGAUGAUCAGCCACACUGGGACUGAGACACGGCCCAGACUCCUACGGGAGGCAGCAGUAGGGAAUAUUGGACAAUGGGGGCAACCCUGAUCCAGCAAUGCAGCGUGAGUGACGAAGGCCUUAGGGUUGUAAAACUCUUUCAUCGGUGAGGAUAAUGACAGUAGCCGAAGAAGAAGGACCGGCUAAUUCCGUGCCAGCAGCCGCGGUAAUACGGAAGGUCCUAGCGUUGUUCGGAAUUACUGGGCGUAAAGCGCAUGUAGGCGGAACAGAAAGUUAGAAGUGAAAUCCCUGGGCUCAACCUAGGAAUUGCUUUUAAAACUUCUGUUCUGGAAUUCAGGAGAGGAAAAUGGAAUAUCCAGUGUAGAGGUGAAAUUCGUAGAUAUUGGAUGGAACACCAGUGGCGAAGGCGAUUUUCUGGACUGAUAUUGACGCUGAGAUGCGAAGGCAUGGGUAGCAAACGGGAUUAGAUACCCCGGUAGUCCAUGCAGUAAACGAUGGGUGCUAGUCGUCGGACUUAUGUUCGGUGUCGUAGCUAACGCG